CUGAGCCAUGCAUGUCUCAGUACAAGCAUCCUUGUACCGUGAAACUGCGAAUGGCUCAUUACAACAGUUAUAGUUUAUUUGAUCGUGCGGAGCUACGUGGAUAACCGUAGGAAUUCUAGAGCUAAUACAUGCACCGUCGCCGAGGAUCUUUGGUUAGACUUCGGCGGGAUUUAUUAGAUCAAAAACCAAUCGUCUCUCCCGUUAUUUCGGAGAGAGGCGUGGUGGGAUGAAUCAUAAUAACUUUACCGAAUCGUAUGGCUUAAAUUAGGCCGACGAUAAAUCAUUCAAAUUUCUGCCCUAUCAACUUUCGAUGGUAGGGUAGUGGCCUACCAUGGUGUUGACGGGUGACGGAGAAUUAGGGUUCGAUUCCGGAGAGGGAGCCUGAGAAACGGCUACCACAUCCAAGGAAGGCAGCAGGCGCGCAAAUUACCCAAUCCUGAUUCAGGGAGGUAGCGACAAGAAAUAACGAUAGUGGGCUCGUUCGAGUCCGCGCAUCGGAAUGAGGAUAAUUUACACCCCCUCUCGAGGAUCCAUUGGAGGGCAAGCCUGGUGCCAGCAGCCGCGGUAAUUCCAGCUCCAAUAGCGUAUACUAAAGUUGUUGCAGUUAAAAAGCUCGUAGUCGAAUGAAGGUUUCUUGAAUUGCGCGGACUUCUAAGUGUAACUUAGAUUGGUUUGUGCACAAGAACCUCCCUUAUGUGUCUUUUUAGAUCCAAAUUUUUUGUUGGAUCUAAAAAGACACAUGCAUUACUGUGAACAAAAUAGAGUGUUCAUGGCAGGUCAAUUUAGGCUUGAAUACCUCA
rnacentral:rRNA from 1 species